UGACCUCGGAUUAGAUGUGAGUACCCGCUGAACUUAAGCAUAUCACUAAGCGGAGGAAAAG
rnacentral:rRNA from 1 species